AAUAUUAAAUAUUUUUAGGAAGCUAAUUAAAAAAAAACCCCCACACACAGUCCCCUGAACCAUUAUUAACUCAGACACAACAGUACCAAGACUCUGAAAGCACAAGGAAUUGAAACUGACUGAUCCACUCUAGUUUCAUUUCAGAAUAGCAGCCGUGUUAGUCUGUA